AAUAUUGGACAAUGGGCGACAGCCUGAUCCAGCCAUGCCGCGUGUGUGAAGAAGGUCUCCGGCGUGAAAAGCACUUCAAGCUGGGAGGAAGGGCAGCAAGUUAAUACCUUGCUGUGUUGACGUUACCGACAGAACAAGCACCGGCUAACCCUGUGCCAGCAGCCGCGGUAAUACAGAGGGUGGAAGCGUUAAUCGGAAUUACUGGGAGUAAAGCGCGCGUAGGUGGUUCAGUAAGAUUGGUGUGAAAUCCCCGGGCUCACCCUGGGAACUACUUUCAUAACUGCUGAGCUAGAGUACGGUAGAGGGUGGUGGAAUUUCCUGUGUAGGGGUGAAAUGCGUAGAUAUAGGAAGGAACGCCAGUGGCGAAGGCGACUACCUGGACUGAUACUGACACUGAGGUGCGAGAGCGUGGGGAGCAAAC
rnacentral:rRNA from 1 species